rnacentral:rRNA from 1 species
CACGUAGGGGGCAAGCGUUGUCCGGAAUCAUUGGGCGUAAAGAGCUCGUAGGCGGCUCAGUAAGUCGGGUGUGAAACCCUCAGGCUCAACCUGGGGACGCCACCCGAUACUGCUGUGGCUAGAGUCCAGUAGGGGAGUGUGGAAUUCCCGGUGUAGCGGUGAAAUGCGCAGAUAUCGGGAGGAACACCAGCGGCGAAGGCGGCACUCUGGGCUGGUACUGACGCUGAGGCGCGAAAGCUAGGGGAGCAAACGGG